GGCCGCGGGAAUUCGAUUCAGGCCUAACACAUGCAAGUCGAGCGGUAGAGAGAAGCUUGCUUCUCUUGAGAGCGGCGGACGGGUGAGUAAUGCCUAGGAAUCUGCCUGGUAGUGGGGGAUAACGUUCGGAAACGGACGCUAAUACCGCAUACGUCCUACGGGAGAAAGCAGGGGACCUUCGGGCCUUGCGCUAUCAGAUGAGCCUAGGUCGGAUUAGCUAGUUGGUGAGGUAAUGGCUCACCAAGGCUACGAUCCGUAACUGGUCUGAGAGGAUGAUCAGUCACACUGGAACUGAGACACGGUCCAGACUCCUACGGGAGGCAGCAGUGGGGAAUAUUGGACAAUGGGCGAAAGCCUGAU
rnacentral:rRNA from 1 species